rnacentral:sRNA from 1 species
UGACAGUACGAAAAGUAAAUAAAAAUCAC